UGCAAUGCCCUACUCAGAAAGGUGCCAUUUAUGUAGAUUUUAUGUCACUGGCUCCUUUCUGGGUAGAGUAAGGCUCA
ensembl:miRNA